UCAAGCCUAAGAGGCCUCUCGGCCAAACCAAGAACAAAAAAAAAUUUUAGCCUUCAAUCCAAAAAUCUUGUUCUUCUUGAAUUAGUAACAAGUUCAAGACGCUCUUCAACGUGGUAUAACUAGUUUGGCGGAAGAACCACGUUUGCGGAAAGUUGGAAUUUGAAGGAAAGAUUUUGGACGAAAUUGAAGUCGACGCCAAGCGAGCGUAAGGCGCUAUCGAGGUACAGACGCACCAGGUGAUACGCCGCCAGCGUAGGGUUCUGAUUCAGCUGUUUUGAAGAGCUCCUUUGAUCCGGAGCAUACACUUUUGGUAUAUAUCUUCUGUUUUCCGUAUGUUCUGCAUGUAUGGAAAUUUUGGGUACGACGGGGCCCUGUCCCGUCAUAUGAUUCUGUAUGUCUGUAGAGGCCUGUAG